GCAGGGCGGCUGCUAUACAUGCAGUCGACGCUUCUUUUUCCACCGGAGCUUGCUCCACCGGAAAAAGAAGAGUGGCGAACGGGUGAGUAACACGUGGGUAACCUGCCCAUCAGAAGGGGAUAACACUUGGAAACAGGUGCUAAUACCGUAUAACAAUCAAAACCGCAUGGUUUUGAUUUGAAAGGCGCUUUCGGGUGUCGCUGAUGGAUGGACCCGCGGUGCAUUAGCUAGUUGGUGAGGUAACGGCUCACCAAGGCCACGAUGCAUAGCCGACCUGGGAGGGUGAUCGGCCACAUUGGGACUGAGACACGGCCCAAACUCCUACGGGAGGCAGCAGUAGGGAAUCUUCGGCAAUGGACGAAAGUCUGACCGAGCAACGCCGCGUGAGUGAAGAAGGUUUUCGGAUCGUAAAACUCUGUUGUUAGAGAAGAACAAGGAUGAGAGUAACUGUUCAUCCCUUGACGGUAUCUAACCAGAAAGCCACGGCUAACUACGUGCCAGCAGCCGCGGUAAUACGUAGGUGGCAAGCGUUGUCCGGAUUUAUUGGGCGUAAAGCGAGCGCAGGCGGUUUCUUAAGUCUGAUGUGAAAGCCCCCGGCUCAACCGGGGAGGGUCAUUGGAAACUGGGAGACUUGAGUGCAGAAGAGGAGAGUGGAAUUCCAUGUGUAGCGGUGAAAUGCGUAGAUAUAUGGAGGAACACCAGUGGCGAAGGCGGCUCUCUGGUCUGUAACUGACGCUGAGGCUCGAAAGCGUGGGGAGCAAACAGGAUUAGAUACCCUGGUAGUCCACGCCGUAAACGAUGAGUGCUAAGUGUUGGAGGGUUUCCGCCCUUCAGUGCUGCAGCUAACGCAUUAAGCACUCCGCCUGGGGAGUACGACCGCAAGGUUGAAACUCAAAGGAAUUGACGGGGGCCCGCACAAGCGGUGGAGCAUGUGGUUUAAUUCGAAGCAACGCGAAGAACCUUACCAGGUCUUGACAUCCUUUGACCACUCUAGAGAUAGAGCUUCCCCUUCGGGGCAAGGUGACAGGUGGUGCAUGGGUUGUCGUCAGCUCGUGUCGUGAGAUGUUGGGUUAAGUCCCGCAACGAGCGCCACCCUUAUUUGUUAGUUGCCAUCAUUCAGUUGGGCACUCU
rnacentral:rRNA from 1 species